rnacentral:misc_RNA from 1 species
CAGGAAGAGAAAUCGGACAGGUAGAACCCCAAGCGUUUUUGGCGAGGGAGUAAUAGAAAGAACGAGAGGGUUUGCAAGUGGAAGAAGCGUUGUUAUGGCUGUGGGAUAGAGUAAGAGGGAGUAAUUGGCUGAGAAAUAAACAUGUCAUUGCUCGGCUUCUGCGUAUCAAUAGCAUCGCUAACCAGAUUCUUCUUUAUUUCCGUCUCACCAUUCCUGGAUAAAUCUUGAUUUUGCAAAACCG